rnacentral:rRNA from 1 species
CAAAAACAUAGCCCUAGAUAAUUUCUACCGUGUACCUGCCCAGUGAUCUUUAAUUAAUAGAAUAAAAAUCUAAGAAUAAGAUUAAAAGGACGCGGUAACCUUGACCGUGAUAAUGUAGCAUAAUCACUCGCCAUUUAAUUGGUGGAUAGUAUGAAUGGUUGAACGAAUAUUCCACUGUCUUAAAGAAAAUUAAAAGAAAUUGAAAUAAUAGUUAAGAUGCUAUUUUAAACUGUAAGACGAAAAGACCCUAUAGAGCUUAACUAUAAUCUCUUUUCUUAAUAUAAAAAUAAAUUUUAAACAAAAAGAGAUUGGUAGUUUAGUUGGGGCGACUGUCUUCUAAAUAAAACGAAGACAAGCAAUGUUAAUAAAUGACUUAUUGUAUAAUGUAAAAAUUUAACAAUUAUAAUUAUAGGCUAUAGUGACCCGUUAAUACUAAAGAAUAAGAUUAACGAUCAAUUAAUAAAAGCUACCUUAGGGAUAACAGGAUAAUUUCAUUUUAGAGUCCCUAUCGAAAAUGAAGUUUGUCACCUC